rnacentral:rRNA from 1 species
UACGUAGGGGGCUAGCGUUGUCCGGAAUCAUUGGGCGUAAAGAGCGUGUAGGCGGUCCGGUAAGUCCGCUGUGAAAGUCGGGGGCUCAACCCUCGAAUGCCGGUGGAUACUGUCGGGCUAGAGUGCGGAAGAGGCGAGUGGAAUUCCUGGUGUAGCGGUGAAAUGCGCAGAUAUCAGGAGGAACACCCAUGGCGAAGGCGGCAUCCUGGACCGGUAUUGACGCUGAGACGCGAAAGCGUGGGGAGCAAACAGG